rnacentral:lncRNA from 1 species
ACUUUAGCGGCGAGCGGAAGUAAAGAUAAAGAUGGUGGGAUCGAUGAAGCGGCCUGUUCCGGCUGCUGUCAGUGGUUCGGGGCUUGGACCGUUUACCUCACCGGUGAGAGCCGCCUUUGUACUGCGCCUGUGCUGCUAAUAGUUCGCGGCUAAUGACUUAGCCGCUAAUUGCUAACGGCCUCAAGCUAAUGUUUACAGGCCGCGCAGAUCUGAGCUGUUGGACCGCGCUGGGGUCCAGAGACAGCGGCACUCGAUAUGGUGGAGCAGCCUGAAGAUCGGUCAGGUCCUGAUUUAUUAUUGAUGAAGGAGAUCCGUGCAGAAUAUUCCAGUAGAUGGCGAGCCAACACGUCUGGACCCGGAACCAGGAUCCACAAACGCUGCUGCUGCUGCUGCUGAUGGGUCAUCUGCCGAGAGCUGUCGGUGACGGAUAUGAGAGGCAGUCAGCGGUGACGUGACCAUCAUGGAGACAGAUGAUGAUGAUGAUGACGGGACCUGCUCAAAGACCCCGGGGCCUCAUUUAACCAUGUGAGCGACGGCUAGCUGCAACAACAGCAGGGCGACAGACGAUGAAAUGAUCUGUUUUUGGC